GAAAAAUACCUCAAAUACAUAGCAAUCUUCAGAGAUAUUUUAUAAUACAUCUAAAUACAUAAAUUACAUUAAUUAAACAAAAUAUGAAUAUAUUCAUGGCAUAUAACGAGAUAGUGAAUAUAAUGAAAUACAUAUAAUACAACGGGAUACAUUGAAAUACUAUGAAAUACAACGUCAUACAUUGAAAUAUAUUAACAGAAAAUACCCCCAACUCCGUCGUCUUUGUUCAAGAACAAUCCCUAAUUUUCGGUGAAUCCCUCAUCGAGCAACGAAAUAAUCCACAUAGUAUCUGGUCGACCAUAUCAUCUUCCACUUCGAUUGAGGCCUUGUCUUUUGAUUGCUAAUUCUAAUGAAGAAAAAUAUAGCUGGGCUAGACAAGCCUGGAACCAACUCCCUUCUAAUGGUUGAUUUUGUUUUUUUUUUCCAGUCCACUGGUGAUUUUAUUGCAAUUACGAGAUAUGUAAGUUCUACUCCCUUUCCACCAUCUGUACUCAGCAUGGUGUAGGUUGGAAGGUAAAAAGGCGUCUUCCUAGAAUCGUCCAUCCUACUCUUUUUCCUCCCUGUUCUUUUAGCAAAAUAGAACAUUGAAUCGUGAAUAAUAUUUUCUAGUUGAUGUGGUUGUUUACUUGCAUCACCAUACCUGCAUAAAAGGCGGACCUUGGUGGUGGAAGUGGGAAGAGGUGGCAGGUCUAAGAGGGAAUUUGUGGUGGUAGAUAGCGGAGGUGGGUCAAUUUAGGUGUUAAUGGUGGCGGAGACUAUGGUACAUUAUGGAACAAAGCGUG
rnacentral:lncRNA from 1 species